rnacentral:sRNA from 2 species
AUACAAAAUUUGCCGAAUCAUCGCCUUGGCGGUGAACGGGGGAACCAUUUUUAGGGUGAAUUGACUCCGCCUCUCGUCCUAUCGACGUGCGCCGCAGGAAUCAUAGGGAACCUUCAACCGAACCCCACAGCUAACCUCGUAGGCUCUGGAAGGAGCACCA